rnacentral:lncRNA from 1 species
UGUUCCCCAUCCUCCCCCUCUUCUUCUCCGGACUCCUCCUCCGUCUCUCCACUGUGGGAGACGUACUCAACACUCUCCACGCUGCCCUCCUGGCUACCUUCCUCUGCCUGCACGAGAUGCAGUCGACAACAUCAGACGUCGGACAGUAGUACAAGAAAAAGCGAUAAACCUAAGACAAUUGGGUGCACUCGACAAGUUAUACUCACCUCAUUCGGAGGAGGGUUGUCCGCACGGAAGGGCUUCACUCGCCGAGAUCCUCUGGGAUUAUCGCAGGCGCCUGUGAUAUUGAGGACCCACGACGCCACGAGCUCCCCAAUCACGGACUCGGGGUUAGUCCGAGUGGAGUCCUCACGCCCCGUGUAGUGCCACAUGGCGUGGUGUCGAGCUUGCAAAGGCUGGAUACGCCGACCCAGAAAAACCUCCAGCAAAUCUAUGCCGGUGACUCCCUUUCGGAC